CAAUGGGGGAAACCCUGAAUGCAGCGACGCCGCGUGGAGGAAGAAGGUCUUCGGAUUGUAAACUCCUGUUGUUGGGGAAGAUAAUGACGGUACCCAACAAGGAAGUGACGGCUAACUACGUGCCAGCAGCCGCGGUAAAACGUAGGUCACAAGCGUUGUCCGGAAUUACUGGGUGUAAAGGGAGCGCAGGCGGGAAGACAAGUUGGAAGUGAAAUCUAUGGGCUCAACCCAUAAACUGCUUUCAAAACUGUUUUUCUUGAGUAGUGCAGAGGUAGGCGGAAUUCCCGGUGUAGCGGUGGAAUGCGUAGAUAUCGGGAGGAACACCAGUGGCGAAGGCGGCCUACUGGGCACCAACUGACGCUGAGGCUCGAAAGUGUGGGUAGCAAACAGGAUUAGAUACCCUGGUAGUCCAAGGGCGAAUUC
rnacentral:rRNA from 1 species